rnacentral:sRNA from 1 species
UAAUGAGGCAUGAAAAGAGAGGUUGCGCUAACAACCUCCCUUAAAGGUAGCACCGUUUAAGACGGUGGCCGAAAAACGAUUUUAUUUAUUU